rnacentral:rRNA from 1 species
UACGUAGGUGGCGAGCGUUGUCCGGAUUUACUGGGCGUAAAGCGCGCGCAGGCGGACUGAUCAGUCUGGGGUGAAAUCUCACGGCUCAACUGUGAGCGGUCCCUGGAUACUGUCAGUCUUGAGAUGUCUAGAGGAGAGCGGAAUUCCCGGUGUAGUGGUGGAAUGCGUAGAUAUCGGGAAGAACACCAGUGGCGAAAGCGGCUCUCUGGGGACCAUCUGACGCUGAGGCGCGAAAGCGUGGGGAUCAAACAGG